GCCAGGUGAGGUGGUGCGUGCCUGUAAUCCCAGCUACUCGGGAGGCUGAGGUGGGAGGAUCGCUUGAGCCCAGGAGUUCUGGGCUGCAGUGCCCUAUGCCAAUCGGGUGUCCGCACUAAGUUUGGCAUCAAUAUGGUGACCUCCCGGGAGCGGGAGACCACCAGGUUGCCUAAGGAGGGGUGACCUGGCCCAGGCUGGAAAUGGAGCAGGUCAAAACUCCCAUGCUGAUCAGUAGUGGGAUCGCACCUGUGAAUAGCCACUGCACUCCAGCCUGGGCAAUGCAGUGACACCCCGUCUCU
rnacentral:SRP_RNA from 1 species